GCAGAGGGAGGAUAGCUUUAAAAUAUAGAAACAAUACAAAUUUCAAACAAAAAACCUUAUCCAUUGUCCUCUCUCUAUCUUAAAAGAGGGAAUCUCAAAUCACCGUUCAUUUCUGAUUUUUCCUCACAUUUUACUAUUUCAUAUGUGGAAAAAAACAAUCACCUCUAUUACACUACCUAUUUGGGCUUCACAUGGCACCGAUUUAUGGAAAAAGUCAAACGACCCACGCUGUUGACACUCUAAGUGACCGUAGUCUUACAUGGCCGACGUGGAUCCCCAUAAAUAAAAUAAUUUCGACCGCAUGUGUGUGUUAUGUCAACCAUGCGAUCACCCACACGGGCUAUGUAGCUCGAUCCCGAUUUAUCCUUCACUUAGAAGUGGCAAUUCAUAAUUACAGUCCAUUUUUGUUCGGGAGUAUUCACACUUGGCUGGUUUCUAAUUGGUUCUACACUGUAGUCUGUAGCAAAACUGGCUCUCCGUUGUUCAAUUCAAAUGAACUUUAAUGCUCUCAACUGUUCAUCCGCAAAAGCAAAUUAGCGUAGUCGCUUUACAAUUCACUGUCCAUUUACAGUAGCUACUCAAAAUAUCUCUUUCCUAUAAAGUGCAUUUUGCUUUCUCCCACUUCUUACUUCCUGCUCUCCUAUUGGAAGAUGUUCAUUUUUGGAGUUGCUGUUUCUGCUUUUGGGGACGAUGACGAAGACUCUGGGUAUCUCUCGUUCAUCUGUGGCGCUACUUCUUUUGCCGCCGCAUCAGCUGCUCCGUCCGUCGCUAAUCUGAGGUAAGAAAUUGUACUUUGAUGAGUAUCACUAAUUACAUUAUGUUGCCGAAUGAGGCAAGAAAGAUUGAAGAAAAGUCAGAAGGUGUUUAUGAGGUUUUAGCAUUAGUAGACGAGCAGAAACUUGAAGAGAAAAGAAAUGAUGAAAAAGAGAAAUUCUUGUAGCUUUCAAAAAUAUUUGAGGAACAGGUUUUUGGCCUGAGGUUUAGUGUUUAUUUUCGUUUCAUACUUAAAAAGGAAAUAAAGUUAUCCUUUGACUAUUUGAUGUAAUAUAUGACGAAUUUUGUUGAAAAUUAUCUUUAAUUUUUCUUACAUGCCACUUGUUAACAUCAAUGAAGGAGAAAAUGAUGAUAAGGCAACACCACAACAUAACACUGGUGUUCCCUUUUAACUUGUACACACACGCUAAGAAUUAUAUUAGAAACCAUUUCAUAAAGUUUUACAUUAUAUUUCAGCAUACAUUUGAUGACAAAGAUUUCUAUCCAGCUAAUUCUUGAUUUUAGAAAUUGUUAGCUCAAUUAUUAUUUUUGAAUGUGAUUUUAUAGGUCUAUUAUCCAUCUGGUCUCUUUGUUACGAUUCUGACACCAUGUGGCUAUAUAACUUCGAUAGUUGUAUGCAUUUUUUGUAUUUGACAUGGCAGGAGAUAUAUAUGUCAAUGGGAAUUCUUGAAGGCUGAAAUAAUUAAAAUUCUAUUGGGGAGACAUCAACUGAGUUUCACAUUUUUUUAACUGGCUUAUAAUUAUCAUUUACGUCAAAUUGGACAGAAGUUUCAAUUUCACAAUCUGUUAGCAGAAAACCUUGGUGAAGUCAAAAUUCUUUGUAGACUUACAGUCUUGAAGGUGGAGUAGUUGUAUUAACACUCAAAAAUCAGAGUAUACUUGCUGAUAGUGAUAUCACUAAAGUUAACCCGUUGAUGUUGUAAAAAACAAUUAAACUGGGAUAUGAGUUAACAAUUGCAGAUUAAAACUUGCAAACACUCAAGAAAUUCAACCCAACCAAGUGGAACUUGCGUCCAAAAACCACAAACCCAAAAACCCAUGUUGCAGUCUGGAUGCAAGCAGGCAGCUAAAUUCAACCAAAACAUAAAGAGCUGGGUUCAUAGAACCUGCUGGGCAAUUACAAUAACAAUCGUCCAAUAAAGUUGGAAACGUAGAGUGCCUAAGUUGUUGGACAAACUCCCCAAUGAAUAGCAUGAUUCGAACUUGAACCUGGGGCUGGGAAGAAGCCGAAUGAGGAAAAUAGGAGGCCUACCAACAAGUUGAGCCUGCUCGAAGCUGCCCAAUACAAUGAAGUGGCCGAAAUUCAACAGCACCAAACCUUCUUCAAGCAUAUGAUCUUUAAAACAUCAAAGAAAAUAAAACUUCAACUGACAGCUUGAACAAUGCAUAUAUCCUAACCAUUUUCAAAUCUUCCAAGUGGAGAUGAUGAACUUGAAACAUUUGAGGACGUUUGCAAAUGAACCUGGUUGAUCUUCAGCCUUCAAAAGACUUGAGGUUCAUCAAAGAUAACACUUAGAAUUCUUCCAAGAAACUGCCUAAUCUGCUUGCCGAAUUUAGACCUUCAAGAAAACAUGUAAUCUUGAAAUUCUUCAAAUCCGGCAACAACAAAAUCCGGAGAGGAUGCUACUUCUCAUGUAAAACUUUUUCUUUAUUUUUACUACCGUUUAAAUUCUUUGUUAUGAAUUUUGAAGGUAGAUCUUCUGAGUACGUUUCUUAAAAUAGAAAAAAAUAUUUAUGUACAAAAAUUGUAUUAUUUUUUCAUUGACAUGUUGUGGAAAUGUACUGCCCUUGUUUGGUAAUUGUUUUGUAUCUAAGUUGAAGUUUUCUUGA